rfam:Rattus norvegicus chromosome 1, whole genome shotgun sequence.
GGGGAUUUAGCUCAGAGGUAGAGCGCUUGCCUAGCAAGCGCAAGGCCCUGGGUUCGGUCCCCAGCUCCA